AUCGCUUCUCGGCCUUUUGGCUAAGAUCAAGUGUAGUAUCUGUUCUUAUCAGUUUAAUAUCUGAUACGUCCCCCAUCGGGGGACUACAUAUUAAAUGGAUUUUUCGAACAGGGAGUCGGAAAUGGGGCUUGCUCCGUCCGCUCCACGCAUCGACCCGGUAUUGCAGUACCUCCGGGAACGGUGCAACACUU
ensembl:snRNA U2 U2 spliceosomal RNA